UGUGAGGGCGAACUGGCUGCGACAUCUGUAACUCCCCAUUGAUCGCUAAGGGUUAUUCGGCUGAUCUGGUAUAGGCGGGUGUCCCCUUCCUCCCUCGACAAUCCACCAGCGUUCCUCCCGAAGCUCUGCGCUCGGUCGAAGAGGACGGUCUGCGCGUAUCCGCUCCCCUGCUAGAACCUCCAAACGAGCCCCCUUGUAGGAGAGCCGAGCAUCGAGAGUGCUCACACACAUCUAAGUGCGGCACUGCACGGGGCAGUUUGCCUUCCUUUUCUCCAUUAAGAUCUCUUUUAUGUCAUAUGACCAACAACACUCAACACACAUAAGUGCAAAAUAGCCUUCUUUCUUAUGAGGUUUAAUGACGCCCAAACUACAAUGCAGGGAAGGGGAAAGCGGCGGACAUGAAGUUAACCAGAAAACCAGAUCUUCACGUUAGAGCUAACGACUCGCUGUCAGAGCUUCCCACAGCACUCCCCCCGCCACCCCCCCCAAUCCAUUUUCAGGUUUGUUAUUAGCCCCCUCCCCAAAUUUACCCAUUUGAGGUAGCGGGUUCCGAUGGAUGGCUAGGCUGGGGGGGGGGGAGAGAUUACACUUAUGUGCUGUAGUGUUACAGUAUGGCCCCACAACUGCGCAGCCCAGACAGAGCAUGACUGUCACCCCAGCAUCUCAUACCACAGCUUGGCGUGCCGGUACUUUCCAUACUGGCCGGAACAAACCACGACCGUGUCCAGCGCCACAACUGGAGCAGAUGUGGCCCAGCUCCUGAACAUCUGUGUGAGAAAUUCCAAUUCGGUGCCUCCUUCCCACACAAUCGAUCAUUUUUUCCCUUCCCUGCACUCAUUUGAAUUUUAACAUACAGCUGGGGACCAGCGCUGGGAGUCGUGUGGAGGAUGGAACGACAGAACCCCUUUGUUUGUGCCCAAAAAAACCAUCCCGUCAAACCCCACCCCCCCAUUGUGUGAAACCUGCUCCCGGUGUAAAUAAUUAGCCGCGAGGCUAAGAGCGAUGCUCUCCCCCUGUACCCAAAAAGAGGACAAAGGGACACCGAGGCCUGAAUGUGCCUCAUACCGCCCACGUGGAAAAAAAUCCCAGAC